rnacentral:rRNA from 1 species
GACGAACGCUGGCGGCGUGCUUAACACAUGCAAGUCGAACGGAAAGGCCCUGCUUUUGUGGGGUGCUCGAGUGGCGAACGGGUGGGUAACACGUGAGUAACCUGCCCUUGACUUUGGGAUAGCUUCAGGAAACUGGGGCUAAUACCGGAUAGGAGCUCCUGCUGCAUUGUGGGGGUUGGAAAGUGUCGGCGGUUGGGGAUGGACUCGCGGCUGAUCAGCUUGUUGGUGGGGUAGUGGCGUACCAAGGCUUUGACGGGUAGCCGGCCUGAGAGGGUGACCGGCCACAUUGGGACUGAGAUACGGCCCAGACUCCUACGGGAGGCAGCAGUGGGGAAUAGUGCACAAUGGGCGGAAGCCUGAUGCAGCAACGCCGCGUGCGGGAUGACGGCCUUCGGGUUGUAAACCGCUUUCGCCUGUGACGAAGCGUGAGUAACGGUAAUGGGUAAAGAAGCACCGGCUAACUACGUG